rnacentral:rRNA from 1 species
GACGAACGCUGGCGGCGUGCUUAACACAUGCAAGUCGAACGAAGAGCGAUGGAAGCUUGCUUCUAUCAAUCUUAGUGGCGAACGGGUGAGUAACGCGUAAUCAACCUGCCCUUCAGAGGGGGACAACAGUUGGAAACGACUGCUAAUACCGCAUACGAUCUGACCUCGGCAUCGAGGAUAGAUGAAAGGUGGCCUCUAUUUAUAAGCUAUCACUGAAGGAGGGGAUUGCGUCUGAUUAGCUAGUUGGAGGGGUAACGGCCCACCAAGGCGAUGAUCAGUAGCCGGUCUGAGAGGAUGAACGGCCACAUUGGGACUGAGACACGGCCCAGACUCCUACGGGAGGCAGCAGUGGGGAAUCUUCCGCAAUGGACGAAAGUCUGACGGAGCAACGCCGCGUGAGUGAUGACGGCCUUCGGGUUGUAAAGCUCUGUUAAUCGGGACGAAAGGCCUUCUUGCGA